rnacentral:rRNA from 1 species
GAUGAACGCUAGCUACAGGCUUAACACAUGCAAGUCGAGGGGUAACAAGAGAAAAGCUUGCUUUUCUUGUUGACGACCGGCGCACGGGUGAGUAAAGCGUAUCCAACCUGCCUAUAACUAGGGAAUAACCUUGCGAAAGUAAGACUAAUACCCUAUGAUUUCCUUUGAUGACAUCAGAUUAGUAAUAAAGAUUUAUCGGUUAUAGAUGGGGAUGCGUCUGAUUAGCUUGUUGGCGGGGUAACGGCCCACCAAGGCAACGAUCAGUAGGGGUUCUUAGAGGAAGGACACCCACAUUGGAACUGAGACACGGUCCAACUUCCGACGGGAGGCAGCAGUGAGGAAUAUUGGUCAAUGGGCGGAAGCCUGAACCAGCCAAGUAGCGUGCAGGAUGACGGCCCUAUGGGUUGUAAACUGCUUUUAUACAGGAAUAAAGUUAGCCACGUGUGGUUAUUUGUAGGUACUGUAUGAAUAAGGACCGGCUAAUUCCGUGCCAGCCGCCGCCGUAA